rnacentral:rRNA from 1 species
UACGAAGGGGGCAAGCGUUGUCCGGAUUUAUUGGGCGUAAAGAGCGUGUAGGCGGCCUGACAGGUCAGGUGUGAAAACUCGAGGCUCAACCUCGAGACGUCGGUUGAAACCGUAAGGCUAGAGUCCGGAAGAGGAGAGUGGAAUUCCCGGUGUAGCGGUGAAAUGCGCAGAUAUCAGGAGGAACACCGGUGGCGAAGGCGGGUCUCUGGGCCGAUACUGACGCUGAGGAGCGAAAGCGUGGGGAGCGAACAGG